UUUAAAUUUAGAGUUUGAUCCUGGCUCAGGACGAACGCUGGCGGCGUGCUUAACACAUGCAAGUCGAGCGAUGAAACUUCCUUCGGGAAGUGGAUUAGCGGCGGACGGGUGAGUAACACGUGGGUAACCUGCCUCAAAGUGGGGGAUAGCCUUCCGAAAGGGAGAUUAAUACCGCAUAAUAUAAGAGAAUCGCAUGAUUUUCUUAUCAAAGAUUUAUUGCUUUGAGAUGGACCCGCGGCGCAUUAGCUAGUUGGUAAGGUAACGGCUUACCAAGGCAACGAUGCGUAGC
rnacentral:rRNA from 1 species